rnacentral:rRNA from 1 species
UACGUAGGUGACAAGCGUUGUCCGGAUUUACUGGGCGUAAAGAGCGCGCAGGCGGUCGAUCAAGUCGAGUGUGAAAGCCCCCGGCUCAACUGGGGAGGGUCAUUCGAUACUGAUCGACUCGAAGGCAGGAGAGGGUAGUGGAAUUCCCGGUGUAGUGGUGAAAUGCGUAGAUAUCGGGAGGAACACCAGUGGCGAAGGCGACUACCUGGCCUGUUCUUGGCGCUGAGGCGCGAAAGCUAGGGGAGCAAACGGG